rnacentral:rRNA from 1 species
NNAUACGACCAUAGGGUGUGGAAAACAGGGCUUCCCGUCCGCUCAGCCGUACUUAAGCCACACGCCGGUGAGUUAGUAGUUGGGUGGGUGACCACCAGCGAAUCCUCACUGUUGUAUGUUU